UACGUAGGGUGCAAGCGUUUGUCCGGAAUUAUUGGGCGUAAAGAGCUCGUAGGCGGUCUGUCGCGUCGGCUGUGAAAACCCGAGGCUCAACCUCGGGCCUGCAGUCGAUACGGGCAGACUAGAGUGUGGUAGGGGAGACUGGAAUUCCUGGUGUAGCGGUGAAAUGCGCAGAUAUCAGGAGGAACACCGAUGGCGAAGGCAGGUCUCUGGGCCGCAACUGACGCUGAGGAGCGAAAGCAUGGGGGAGCGAACAGG
rnacentral:rRNA from 1 species